UACGGAGGGUGCAAGCGUUAAUCGGAAUUACUGGGCGUAAAGCGCGUGUAGGCGGUCUUGUAAGUCGGAUGUGAAAGCCCCGGGCUCAACCUGGGAACUGCAUCCAAAACUACUGAGCUAGAGUACGGUAGAGGGUAGUGGAAUUUCCUGUGUAGCGGUGAAAUGCGUAGAUAUAGGAAGGAACACCAGUGGCGAAGGCGACUACCUGGACUGAUACUGACACUGAGGUGCGAAAGCGUGGGGAGCAAAC
rnacentral:rRNA from 1 species